rnacentral:tRNA from 1 species
AGUCCUGCAGUCGAAGAGACGUAUGAGUGCAAAUCAUAAGAUGGAGAUGACUUCUCCCGGGGCUU